rnacentral:rRNA from 1 species
UACGAAGGGUGCAAACGUUGCUCGGAAUUAUUGGGCGUAAAGCGCACGUAGGCGGUAUUGCAAGUCGGAUGUGAAAUCCCUCGGCUUAACCAAGGAAGUGCAUCCGAAACUGCUGUACUUGAGUACGAAAGAGGAUCGCGGAAUUCCCGGUGUAGAGGUGAAAUUCGUAGAUAUCGGGAGGAACACCAGCGGCGAAGGCGGCGAUCUGGGUCGAUACUGACGCUGAGGUGCGAAAGCGUGGGGAGCAAACAGG